rnacentral:rRNA from 1 species
GAGUUUGAUCCUGGCUCAGAACGAACGCUGGCGGCGUGGAUAAGACAUGCAAGUCGAGCGAGAUUUUUUUCUGUAGCAAUACAGGGAAAAGUCUAGCGGCGAACGGGUGCUUAACACGUGGGCAACCUGCCGAGAAGUGGGGGAUAGCUCGCCGAAANNAAUUAAUACCGCAUGUGAUCAGAGUGGACAUCCAUUCAAACUCAAAGUCGGGGCAACCUGACGCUUCUUGAGGGGCCCGCGGCCUAUCAGCUAGUUGGUGAGGUAACGGCCCACCAAGGCUUAGACGGGUAGCUGGUCUGAGAGGACGACCAGCCACACUGGGACUGAGACACGGCCCAGACACCUACGGGUGGCAGCAGUCGAGAAUUUUUCUCAAUGGGGGAAACCCUGAAGGAGCGACGCCGCGUGGAGGAUGAAGGUCUUCGGAUUGUAAACUCCUGUCAUUGGGGAACAAUGCGCAAAUAUUAACUGUAUUUGCGUUGAUAGUACCCGAAGAGGAAGAGACGGCUAACUCUGUGCCAGCAGCCGCGGUAAUACAGAGGUCUCAAGCGUUGUUCGGAUUCAUUGGGCGUAAAGGGUGCGUAGGCGGCGCGGUAAGUCGGGUGUGAAAUCUCGGAGCUUAACUCCGAAACUGCAUUCGAUACUGCCGUGCUUGAGGACUGGAGAGGAGACUGGAAUUUACGGUGUAGCGGUGAAAUGCGUAGAUAUCGUAAGGAAGACCAGUGGCGAAGGCGGGUCUCUGGACAGUUCCUGACGCUGAGGCACGAAGGCCAGGGGAGCAAACGGGAUUAGAUACCCCGGUAGUCCUGGCAGUAAACGGUGCACGUUUGGUGUGGGAGGAUUCGACCCCUUCUGCGCCGGAGCUAACGCGUUAAACGUGCCGCCUGGGGAGUACGGUCGCAAGAUUAAAACUCAAAGAAAUUGACGGGGGCCCGCACAAGCGGUGGAGUAUGUGGCUCAAUUCGAUGCAACGCGAAGAACCUUACCAGGCCUUGACAUGCAUCUCUAAGUUGGUGAAAGCCAGCGAGUCCCGCAAGGGACAAUUUGCACACGUGCUACAAUGGC